rnacentral:rRNA from 1 species
CAGAGGGGGCAAGCGUUGUUCGGAAUUACUGGGCGUAAAGGGCGCGUAGGCGGCCUGCUAAGUCGAACGUGAAAUCCCUGGGCUCAACCCAGGAACUGCGUCCGAUACUGGUUGGCUUGAAUCCGGGAGAGGGAUGUGGAAUUCCAGGUGUAGCGGUGAAAUGCGUAGAUAUCUGGAGGAACACCGGUGGCGAAGGCGACAUCCUGGACCGGCAUUGACGCUGAGGCGCGAAAGCCAGGGGAGCAAACGGGAUUAGAUACCCCGGUAGUCCUGGCCCUAAACGAUGAUGCUUGGUGUGGUGGGUAUCGAUCCCUGCCGUGCCGAAGCUAACGCAUUAAGCAUUCCGCCUGGGGAGUACGGUCGCAAGGCUG